GCUAUCAUACAUACCAACAGGGGUGUGACUGUGUGAGAAACGAAACAAGUGAACAUUUUCUGAAAUAUGUAAUUGAAAAAACUCCCCAAACAUAUUUUCAUUUUUACCUUACAUUGAUAAUGGAAAUAGGAAAUGAUUAAACUAAAGAGACUGGAAUAUUGUAUCAAAAUAAACAUGUUAUUGCACAAUUUAUUCAUUGAUAAGAAUUUAUUCAUCAUGUUAUGGGCAUGCCAAACAUGAACAUUGAUCCUUCAUGGAUUUGCAAUAUAACUAAUAAUUAUGAAUUAUAUAAGGCAUGUCAUUAUGGAGUGGAUUAGAACCAGUUGGAACUUUUCUCAGCUUUCUAACAACACGAGAUGAAAUAGUAGAAGAAAUAGUAGUAGAAAUAGUAGAAGAAAAAGGAUUCACUUUUUCAUUUAGAACCUUAGCCAUUGCAAUAUUUGGAAAUAGUGCCAUGAGAAACCCUGCUAACAAUAAAAUUGUUGAAACCAUUGAACUUAUCAAUGCCAUCUUUGUCUAACAAAAUUAUACAAAGGGUCCACGAUCACCACUUUCCUUUUGCUAUUGCUUUAGGAUAAUAUUAUAGAAAAAACUUACUUACUACCAUUUUAUAAUGGGAGUUUUGAAACACAGAAAAAAUGAAAUGAAUAUACUGGUGUAAAAAGAAUUAAAGAUUUGGUUGAGGAAGACCAUCGUAUCAAAACUCUCUCAAAAAGUAUAUUAAAUGAGUAGAUCAGAGAACAUGAAUUUAUGUAUGACUUUGUAUCCUUGUUUUAUAUAAUGUGUGAGAAUCAUAAGAUUCAAGAUCCUAAGAUUGAUAUUUCACUAACCAUCAUGUAUUAUACUCAUAAUUAAAUCAAUUGUCAAAUUGUUUGAGCCAAUCAUGGUUUGGACUUUGAAUGAUUGAAAUUUUGGUUGUAAAAGAAAAAAAUCAUUUUCUAAAUAAUAUUUAAAGCUCUUAAAAACCCUAUUAUUUAUCAAUAUAAUAAAUAGUCUUGUUUUUUUAACAUUCUAAACAUGUGUCAAUAGAAAACCCAAUAAUAAUGUAUAAAUAAUUAAUAUUUCCUCUUAUCAUGAUCAUAAGUAAUUUUUAACUAAAUUUAUAUAUACAGUAGUUAAUUUUUUUAUACAUUAUUAGUAUAAAAAAUGAUGGUUAGGAUAGAUUAAAUGUAAGAAUUGUCUAAUAAAAAUGAUUAGCAAUUUUUUAUAAAGAAAAUUUCACUCAUACCAUUUGAGCUUUAGUAAAAUUACAUAAAGUGCUCAUUCUUUUUUAAAUCUAUAAAAAUCAUUCCUAAUUAUAUAUAUAUAUAUAUAUAUAUUACAUGGACUAUUCUAGUAGGAGAGAUAAGUGCAAUUUUUUAAACAAAAAUAGUGACAAAUGUAAUUAAAUCAAAUAAAAUAUGGUAUGUAAUAAAGAUAAAUCUACAUAAUAUAAAAGAUAAUGUGCAUUCAUUAUUUUUGGUUCUUUACAAACUACGUUAAAAAAUAACAAAAUUAUUUAAAUCUACCAUAUAUUGGUGUUAUGAAUUUGUUAGCUCUUACACUACUAAAUUACAAUAUCUAUGAUGGGUGAAUGUGUUGGUAGAUUUUUAUCCAUGAGUUAUAAUACUUUUCCAUGAGCUAAGUGAAAGAACAUAGAAAUGAACUUGAUAAUACAUCUUUAUCCAAAACCUUAAGGUAAUAGGUCUAUGAGUUCAUCCACUUAUAUAAUCUUUAACUUAUCCAUUUUUGGAUGAUGUGAGAAUUUUUCAUUCUUAAUUAGAAUACCCAACAGAACCGUGCUACUUCCGUAGCUUUAUUGUAAUUUUCAACUUUGGCUAACAUCAUCUAUGCAUGUGAAACAACUUCAAUUCCCAACGGAAGUUCAAGUACUCUAAAUGGAAAUAAAUGUUAAUGCAAUAAAAAAGGUAACCAAAAUGAAAAUGGGAUUCUUUUUUAUGUGUGGUCACAUGUGUGAUAUCACAUUUAUUGCUACCUGAUUUAUUUAUUUUUGACAUAAUAAAUGAUAUCCAGUUGAUUUAUGGAUAAUAAACUAAUUAAUUUGGAGUUGCGGAUAUUCAUUUUAAUAGAUAUCACUCAUAAGAAUUAAAUUAUUGAUUUUUUGGUCUGAGUGAAAUCCAAUAUAACCUUAUUACACUAAACUAAUACCUUUUUAAUUAGCUCAUUUAAUUUAAUAAAAUUAGUUUAUGAUAUAUUUUAUGUAACUAAUUCAUAAACUUUUGAUACCAACAUUAUAACCAUCUGAUAUGAAGAUGUUAUCAAAUACUAAAUACAUCAUGAUCAUGAUGAAGUGAAGACAAGGGACUCUUGGUAGCCAUUUGAAAUUGGUACAAGAAUUCUUUUGAACAAAAGAUCACAAUAUUCAAUUCAUUCUUUUUGUUUUAUAAUUACAUAUAGCGUGAUAAACCUUAUUGAAUAUUUAUAAUAUACAAAAUGGUAAGAUUAUUAAACUCUCAAUUCCCUAUCCAACUUAUUAAUUAAUACCAUAAAAAACAAGAACUUUUAUUACAUGUGAAGCUAAAAAGAAACCUUACUAUUUCUCACACUUCUUGUUUUAUUACUUUCUUAUCUACAUACAUACCUUUACAUAUAUCACCUAUUUAUACAAUAUCAAACCAUUCAGGCAAAUUAAGUCAGUGUUCAUAUUUUACUCUUUUUUUUUAUAACCUAGUACUUAUUGUAUGCUACACCCAAAGUGAGAGAAUAUGAAAAAUCUUAAAUACUUUCUUUCCUUAUUUCUAUCAAUUCCCAAAACUUAUCCUAUGCUAAGGUUCCACGUUAUUAUUAGUGUUUUUAUUGAGAGUGAUACUAUAGAAAAUGCUACCUAUAUGAUGGAUUAAAGUAUAUUAUUGAAAAUUGAUAGGUGAAUGAAGUCAUUAAAGAGCUAUCACCAGAUCAAUGUCGAUAGAAUGAAAGUGGUCUUGAACUUCAUUACUUAAAUUGAUGGCAAUGUUAAAAGUCACAUUCAUACCUACCGUAUAGCAUAACAAACUCAUGUGAUGUAACAAGUUUGAGAGAUGGUAUGUUGUACAUAAGCUGGUAUGGUUUUGAUGAUGAUGAUAGAUGUUUUGCACUUACUUCCCUUUCUCUCAUUUUCUCUUGAAUAUUUUGGCAUUUACUAUUUAGUGUGAGAUUAUGUUCAACAAUCUAUUCUCCCUUUUAUGCAUUUUAACUGUUGAGUUAAAUAGGAAAAGCAAGAUACAACAAGUUCAAAAGAAAUAUAGUCACAUCUCUUAUAACAAAUAGUUUCAACAUGUUUGGUAAUUCUCUGACAAUACAAAAUGGAAAUAAUACAAAGGCCAUAUGGUGCAUGGAAUGAAGAAUAAGUGUUUUGUCUUAGUCUAAAUACAAGUAACAGACAUGCCCUAAGGCUAGACCCUAAGAUAUAUCUAAAUUAACAUAAGAUAGUUUAUAUGUAUAAGAGAGAUUUAUCAUUUUUCAAUUAUGUAUAGACAUAUUUAAAUUAGUAGUAGUAUUACUAUGGUAUAAGAGAAGUGGAGAGACACAAGUGAGAUAUUAUGUCAAUGAAUCCAAAUCUUCUAUACUAAAUUUUUUCUAUAUCUCUAUAUCAAACCAAUGAUAUUUUACCAAAUACCUAAUUGUGUUAGCAUAAUAAUUAAUGAAAAAUUAAAUAAGAUGUGUUAUUUAUUACUAGGCAAAAUCCUAUUAGGUUGAUAUAGAGGUAUGAAAAACUUUUGGUAUAGAGAUUUUGGGCUCCACAUCAACAAUCUCUACAUACUUACCAGUCCGCUCCCCUUAAGUUCACAUGUCCUAGCCAAACCAUCAACUAUUAGCUCUGAUAUCAUUUGUGGGACCAGACUGCGACUGGCGAGUUCAAUAUGAGAAAAGUGGAGAGACACAAUUGACACAUCAACAUUUUGAACCAAAACUUAAGACAUUAGUUUCAUAGACAUUUUUACAGUUAUAAAUCCUUUCAUUCCUCCACUAGUAUCCAAGUGGGACUUUAGACUUAAUAAAUCCAACUCUUUUGCCUAAUCAAAUUUGUAAAAGAAGAAUUCUAAAACUAUCUCUAAAAAUGAAUUUUAAAGUUAUACAUAUCAUCUUCAAUUGACACCUCAAAACCCAUUCUGUAUUACAAAACCUAACACAAAAUUGGUUAAAGAAAUUUCACCUUCUGUGACAGAUUUUUUGUUUUUGUUUUACAGUUUAAAGAAAACUACUGUAGUUUCUAUAACCACAAGAAAUAGAUAUAGUUCAUAAACCCUCAAAAUGGAAAACAAUAAUACAUUAGCAUUAACCAUUGGUGUAAAUCAAGGAAUUUAAAAUUUAAGAUGCUGAAAAUAGUUUAAACAAUGCUCUUAUACUGUGUAUUUGUGUCAUUAAUUAACAUGUCUCUUUCUGUUAAGAAAUUUCACAAGCAACUAUUAUAUUUCUUAAACUAAUCAAUGAAGCUACCUUACUUGCACAGUUGGAUUUUGUUAUUGUAUCUUUGAAGGGAGGAACAACCAAAAUAAUUUCCUUAUUUCUAUUGUCUUCACUACAUUCUGUUGGAUAUUCAUGCUGAAAACAAGGGUAAGAGAAGGCUUCAGAAUCAUCUCACAAGUGUAUUUCAUUACUCCCAAGCUUUCUCUUUCUCUUCUAAAACUCAACUCGCAAACGGACCCUGAGGGAAUUCUUAGAGUGUAUGCCACUUUAACUCUUGAAUCCAUAGUCAACACCAUUAAAAAAAAUGUAACAGUUUCAGGGAUGUUUCCAAUCAUGAUUGUGUUAAGCCUCAUUCAGAAAAUGUGAUUACUGUUUUAGGUUUCAAAGAUUAACAGUAGGUGCACAAAGAAAGGAAGAUAAUGGUUUCCAAGUGGAAAGUACUAUAAUUUUGUGAAUAGUUAGAAUCUGUAAGUUUGUUUUGUAUGUAAAACAGAAGGAAAAAAACAGUCUUACUUUUCAUGCAGCAGUAACAAGAAUUAUGCUACAUAUUAACAAAAGUUUUUAACAUUUAGCAAAUAUUGUUUUGUGAUGCAAAGAAUAUGCAAAUGAACCCUGGAUGAAUCACUUAACACUUCUUUCACUAGCUAGUAGAUAAAACAUAGCAAUAUUGUUAUUUUGAUAACCAAAUUCUGACAAUUUUUAGUUGUCCUUUGAUUUCUUAUAAAAGAAGCUGUCAAAUUUUAGUUAAACAAAUAACACUAUAACCAAAAAGAACAUAUGAACAAUUAGAAUUUAGAACCAUAAGGGUCUAUUUGUGAGUUGAGUUAAAGAAAGGAAAUGAAAGGUUUCAGAGUUAUCUCAUCAGUGUAUUUCCCUUUCCCUUCAUUCUCUUCCUUUCCCUCCAAAACCCAACUCGCAAACAAACCUCAAGACUUCACGACCAUAGGUUGAUAGGUGCUCUAAAAUUACCCUUUACCAAUCUCAAUAUCACCAUACCAAAACCACAUGUAUCAUACAAACUUGGUCAGGAUUUGAAUUGACCCUAAUUCAAGCCUCCAUCUAUCUUAGCAUCAUGAAAAGCUUUCUUUCCCUUCAAAAUUCAAAUGCUAUUUCUCAGCAUAGAAAUAACUUACAUUGAGUCCUAUCCAAUGCCUUGAUGGAUGAAACUUAUUUUCUACAACAACACAGUAUUCUAAAUAGAAUCGACCAAAUGGUGAAUUCCAACCUACCUCAUCAUAUUUGCAGUGAAAUGCCAAUCAAAAAGUAUACUCUAUCACAUUCCUACAUAAAUAGCAUCCAUCCCCAAAAACAACACCUUUCAGGUUCAUCCAAAAACAUAAUUUCAGCUAAACAAAGCACCAACACUCACAUCAGUCACAUGCUUUAGGCCUUACAGAAGAAAAAAAAAAAGCACAAACACAUCACAGAGCAAAAUUUUGAUAUAAAAAACAUUGAAACACAAUUCUAUCACUUUGGUAGAGAACUGCAAAUUGGUUCUUAUGUACUAGUUCAUGGUUCUUUUGUGAAUUUGGUUCCCUAUAAUGAACGUACCAGAUUUUCAAGUAUAGUUUAAGUUAAAGAAAGAACAGAGAAAAUAAGAGCACUCACCUACAUGAAUCAGUUACAACAAAACAAGAAAUAAUUUUACCAUAAGAUAUUUCUCCUAUUGUGAAGCAAAUUCAUUCAAACCUACAAUAAUUAACACUAGAAACGGCUAUAGACGGAGCUAUAUAAACCCAAUUGAGUAUACCACUAGCGUAUCGGUAUUUGACAGGAUACCCCUAGCGUACCGAUAACGUAUCAUGUACCAUAAAGAAGUGCAUAUCGGGUGACUAUGAUAAAAAACAAAUUGAGAAAGUAAUAGGUAUUAACACUUGUGAAAUCUGUUAUGAAUAGUAAAGCAGAAUUAAAAAAGUGAAAAAUUUGAAACAAAUGUUCCUAUUUGGAUUGAGCUGUUCCUUUGUGUUCAUUUUUUAGCCUUUGCAAAUCUGAGACAACGGUAUUUUUCACCACUUACUGUAAUUUCAAGUGCCCCAUCUUGAUUAUCUUGAUUUGAUGCAGUUCCCAUUAAAACACUUUUCUCUUUCUCAAGAUUCUCUCUCUCCAUUUUCAACCUUGCUUCUUGUCGUGCAAUCUCAGCCUAUAACAUCAAAAAACAAUUCGGAGAGUCUUACAUCAUUAGAUCAACGUCUUUUCGGCAUCGACUAGAAGAAAAUAAAAUAAAAUAAAAAAGAAAUAUAGAGAAAUGGGUAAUAAACCUGACGGCGAGAAAGUUCAGCUUUCCAAGCAGAUUCACGUUCAGCAACUUCACGUUCACGUUCUUCAAUAUAACUUUGCAUUUCUCUUUCCUUCAUUAUUCUAUCUUGAAUAUCAGCAUCUAAUGCUUCCUUCAACUCUUCAACAAAUUUGUCAACAACACCUUUUAUUCUUAGAGACAUGAUUCAUUAAUUCUUUCUUUCUUUCUCUGUUUCUUCACUUCAUCACCAUUUAAUAAUAAUCAACUUUAUAAACAACAAUUAUUUUGGGUUUUCCAUUCGGCCCAUUUUAUGUGUCUCUUUUUCUUCCUUUUAUUUUAGCCCACACAUUAUUAUGCUUACAUUAUAUCAUUUUUUAUAUUAUGUAUAUUAUGAUUCAUAUUUUUUAUUUUAAUUUUAUAAUAUUCCGUGUAGAGAUAUAUAGUACAUUUCUAGAAAUACGCUUAUUCAAUUAUAUACAUGUACAUGUGAAAGUUUAUUUAUAACUCUUAUUAAAUACUAAAUAUUCAUCAACAAAACAUUAGUCUAGUAAUGUAAGACUCUGCUAGGUCAUUUGAAAGACAGUCACACAUAUAGAAAGCGAUUAAUUUCUUACACAUAAGGUGAUAUAUCCUUCAUAAUACCAAAAAAUAGUAAAUCUUCCUAUAGAUUAGCAAGAUUAGAUAGUGUAUGUUAAACUUUGAAAUAGAACAAACUAAAACUUAAAGUUUUGUUUAUGAUAGACUAAUAGACUAAUCUUAGUUUGGAACACAUUCCAUAUAUCCUGUAAGACUUGGUCUAGUUUAAGUUUAUUCCUAAUUUAAUAUUAACUUUAUGCAUAGACUAAUUUUACUAAUAAUUAAAAUUUAAAAAAUAAUUAAGAAUAAAAAUGCGUCAUAACACCAUAUUUAAAAAACAUAAAAAUGCUUCUAUAUCUAUAUCAAUACCUAUUUCUAUAUUUAGAUCUAUGUUUAUAUUUGUAUAUGUGUGUGAAUAUGUAUAUGUAUCUACAUCUGUAUUUGUAUUUGUAUCUGUAUCUAUAUCUACAUCUACAUUGAUAUUGACACCUACACCUAUAUCUAUGAUCUAUCUAUAUCUCUAUUUGCAUUUGUGCCUCGCCCAACACCCCUCGAUGCACACACAACGCCCAGUCUUGUUUUCCCAUGCUUCGAUCAAGUUAGUUCAUGCCUCACAUUAUGCAAUUUAUGAAUUUGACACCCACUUGGCCUUGCUUUGGCCACCAUCUUUAAUAAUUUCUACGAGUUGUCCUAGGACAUUUUGUGCCCUUUUGGUCUUUAUCCUUGUCAUAGGGCCACCAAUUCGUUCUAGGCCUUCAUGGUCCAACUUUAGCUCACUUGGGUUUGCACCAUUCCCUCCUUUUCGGAGUGAAUUUAUCCUCGGAAGUCUUCACCACCUGCAUCAAAGAAAGACAAAUCAACAACAUUGAAAGUAGCACUUAUAUUACCAAACUCACUUGGGAGGUCUAACUUGUAGGCAUUAUCAUUGAUCCUUUCCACCACAUGAAAUAGACCAUCUCCCCUUGGUUGAAGUUUAGAUUUCCUUUGGUUAGAAAACAUCUCCUUCCUUAUAUAAACCUAAACCCAAUGCCCGGGUUGAAAGACCACAUGCUUUCUUCCCUUGUUAGCUUGCUUAGCAUAACUCUCAUUCUUUUUUCUCAAUUUGAACCUUGACUUAUUCAUGCAACUUUUUAACAUACUUAGCCUUGGCCUUCCAUUCCUAUGCUUUAAAAGAGAAUGGUUAGGAAAUGGUAACAAAUGAAGAUGUGUUAGUUGGUAGAACCUAUAAACAAUUUCAAAAUGUGAAAACUAAGUAGUGUCAUUGAUUGCUCUAUUGUAAGCAAACUCAACAUAGGGUAAACACUCCUCUCAUGACUUAAUAUUGAUCUUUAUCACGACUAUCAUUGGAAAUUUGGGCAAAGCCCAUGGGGCACGCCCGCCUGCCCACAUCUAUCAAGCAGGCAAGACAUGAAAAAUAUGCACAUCCGCCAUAAAAUACCUGCCCAACAUGCCCUAUUCGGAUACGGGCAUAACGGGUGGCCCAUAGACAUUAUUAUAAAAAGUAUUGAACAUCAAAUAUGUAAAUAUAUAUGUAUUUUGCUAAUAUGAGAAAGUGUGUUCCAUUUUUUAUAUAUGUAUUUGUAUAUAAAAUGUGAGAAAGUAAUAUUGUUUUCUUAUUAUAUAUUGCAUUUAUAUUUUGUAUAUUAUAUACGCAUAUAUACUAUUCCUUUUGUAUUUUGAAUGCAAAUUAUGUACUAUAGUCUAUAAACAUUUUAUAUUAUAUAUACAGUUGUAUUUUAUGCAUUGUUCCAUUUGUAUGAUUAUGAUAAAUAAAUAUAUUUGUAUAUUUGUAUGCAAAUUAUGUAUUAUUUAUUUCGUAUGACUAGUCUAUAUACAUUUAUUUAUAUAUACACAUUUAUUUAUAUAUAUAUUAUUUAGGUUGGCCCAUAAGCUCGCACUGCCCAUGUUUAGGGUAGACAUGACAUUAUAUUUCACGCCCUAUUUAAAAAGGGCAAGCCCAUGCCCUUCCUAAUUUAAGUCAGCAUAGAAGGGCACGAGAAGGGCAGUCCUAAUUGCCAAUACUAUAUGCGACAAACAAGUUGAGCUCACACUUUUCCAAGAAUAACGUGAAUGAGAUGGUAAAAGUAUCUGCACACCUGAAGACCUUCAAGAAUAGUUACAAUUGAUACUGAUAGUAAUAGAUAAUAGGCGAGAACUUGUAUCAUAAUACUCGUUUACAGUUGCUCAUAAAUUCAUAAAUAUUUUUUUAAUUAUAUAUUUAUAUAUUGCAUAUUUUUUAUUUCUUUCAUAAUAUAUAAUCCAUUUUAUCGAUAAUUUUUAUAAAUGUUAGAUUAUUUUCAAAUCAUAUAUAAACUAUUUUAUCAAUCAUUUCAUAAUGAAUUAUAGUGAUUAAACUACAAUAGCAAACUUAUUAUAUACGCAUAUGAUUAUUUAUGAUGUAAUAAUUAUUUUUAUAUGUAUUUAUUAUUAUAAAAUAUUAAACUUGAAAGUUCAUUUAUUAUCAUUAGCGUUGACAAUUUAAGUUACAACCAUGAGGACUAUUCGUCUGUAUUUAUUGGGUAGGCAAAACAUAAAAAUAUAUACAUUAGUCCAAAAUCUCUGAUUUGCCUGUGGGCAUUUUAAUAGGUAGACUGGGUCAUGUGCGAACAUCAUAAUCUUAAUUAUUAAUUGUUACAUUUUGAUUUUUCAUUAAACUUGAAGGAUAAGUAGUAUUAAAUAUUUUGAACUAGUAAAUUGGUAUGUAUAACUAUAAAAUAUGAUAUAAUAUUAUUUUUUAUUUUUGUUUAAUUUUACUUUAUGUACAUUUUAUUAUUAUUUUGUUUACUUUUUUAAUUGUUAGUGGGCGAUCCGUAAAUCCGCCUUGUCCAUAUUAAGGACAAACAAAGCAUGACAUUUCAUGUCACAAACGAAUAUGCCGAUACUUGUCUUAUUUAGACAUAUAUUAUAUGGGCAUAAGUAGAGCAGUCCAAAUUGCUAAUGAUAGCAUACCAACAUAAACAAGGGUGUAAGAAGAGAGACGAGGAAUCAAAAGAUAAAUUAUUAAACCCAAGAGACUUUAAAUAAACAUCUAAUAGAUAUUCUAUAUAUAUUAUAAGAGUGUUUAUCUCUUUCAGAAUACAUAAGCUAUUUUAUAGAUAUUUUACAUAUAUUAUAAAUUUUAUUAUUUUAAUAUCAUAUAUAAUUUAUUUUAUUAAUUAUUUCGUAAUGAAUUUUAGUGAAUAAACUAUAGUAACAAACUUAUCAUAUACAUAUGUGAUUAUUUAUGAUAUAAUUAUUAUUUAUAUAUAUAAUUAUUAUUACAAAAUAUUAAACUUGAAUUCGCUAUCAUACAUACCAACAGGGGUGUGACUGUGUGAGAAACGAAACAAGUGAACAUUUUCUGAAAUAUGUAAUUGAAAAAACUCCCCAAACAUAUUUUCAUUUUUACCUUACAUUGAUAAUGGAAAUAGGAAAUGAUUAAACUAAAGAGACUGGAAUAUUGUAUCAAAAUAAACAUGUUAUUGCACAAUUUAUUCAUUGAUAAGAAUUUAUUCAUCAUGUUAUGGGCAUGCCAAACAUGAACAUUGAUCCUUCAUGGAUUUGCAAUAUAACUAAUAAUUAUGAAUUAUAUAAGGCAUGUCAUUAUGGAGUGGAUUAGAACCAGUUGGAACUUUUCUCAGCUUUCUAACAACACGAGAUGAAAUAGUAGAAGAAAUAGUAGUAGAAAUAGUAGAAGAAAAAGGAUUCACUUUUUCAUUUAGAACCUUAGCCAUUGCAAUAUUUGGAAAUAGUGCCAUGAGAAACCCUGCUAACAAUAAAAUUGUUGAAACCAUUGAACUUAUCAAUGCCAUCUUUGUCUAACAAAAUUAUACAAAGGGUCCACGAUCACCACUUUCCUUUUGCUAUUGCUUUAGGAUAAUAUUAUAGAAAAAACUUACUUACUACCAUUUUAUAAUGGG
rnacentral:lncRNA from 1 species